rnacentral:rRNA from 1 species
UACGUAGGGGGCAAGCGUUGUCCGGAUUUAUUGGGCGUAAAGAGCGUGUAGGCGGUUUGGUAGGUCCGUUGUGAAAACUCGAGGCUCAACCUCGAGACGCCGAUGGAAACCAUCAGACUAGAGUCCGGAAGAGGAGAGUGGAAUUCCUGGUGUAGCGGUGAAAUGCGCAGAUAUCGGGAGGAACACCGGUGGCGAAGGCGGUUCUCUGGGCCUGUACUGACGCUGAGGAGCGAAAGCGUGGGGAGCGAACAGG